UACGUAGGGGGCAAGCGUUGUCCGGAUUCAUUGGGCGUAAAGAGCUCGUAGGCGGCUUGGCAAGUCGGGUGUGAAAACUCCAGGCUCAACCUGGAGACGCCACCCGAUACUGCCAUGGCUAGAGUCCGGUAGGGGACCACGGAAUACCUGGUGUAGCGGUGAAAUGCGCAGAUAUCAGGUGGAACACCGGUGGCGAAGGCGGUGGUCUGGGCCGGAACUGACGCUGAGGAGCGAAAGCGUGGGGAGCGAACAGG
rnacentral:rRNA from 1 species